AUACGUAGGGUGCAAGCGUUAAUCGGAAUUACUGGGCGUAAAGCGUGCGCAGGCGGUUUUGUAAGACAGCGGUGAAAUCCCCGGGCUCAACCUGGGAACCGCCAUUGUGAAUGCCAGGCUGGAGUGCGGCAGUGGGGGCUGGAAUUCCGCGUGUAGCAGGGAAAUGCGUAGAUUUGAGGAGGAACAACGAAGGCGAAGGCAAUCCCCUGGGCCUGCACUGACUCUCAUGCACUAAAGCGCAGGGAGCAAACAGGAUUAGAGACCCUGGUAGUCCACGCCGUAAAGGAUGUCAACUGGUUGCUGGGGAUUUAUUUUCCCAGUAGCGAAGCUAACGCGUGAAGUUGACCGCCUUGGGAGUACGGUCGCAAGGUUAAAGCUCAAAUGAAUUGACGGGG
rnacentral:rRNA from 1 species